UUAUAUAUUGCUCGAUUUUUCAGUC
rnacentral:piRNA from 1 species